UUGAUUGAUUUUAUCAGUGGAUUUUGAAUACUGCACUAGAUUUCUGUUGAUGUAAAGUACUUCAUUUACUUAGAAUUUCUUUAUAGUUCAGCUCUAUGUAGUAAAAACUGAUGUGUGAAUGGCUAGGCAAGAUAAAAUAUUCCAAUUUUGUAUUUAAUUUUGCUGUCUUGACUCUCAUCUACCUGCAAAUAUUUUUUCUGAUUUGUAGCUUAGUGAUAUUUUCUUGUUUAUGUAAUUUAGAUAAAAUUAGUAUUGACAUAUAUUUGAUAUUUAUGAAUAUAUUUAUUUUGUGACUUUAUGUUUUAUU
rnacentral:lncRNA from 1 species